rnacentral:lncRNA from 1 species
GGACUCCUUCAGCGCGCUGCCUGCCUGCCCAGGGCCUUCCCGGAGAGCAGGUGACGGCGGCCUCCGGGCAUGGAGCUCGCGCUGACGAAAGGUUCUGGAAGCCGCCGUAAAAAGUAAUCAAGAAACGGGUGACAGGACUUUUCGAACAAGGUCUCACCAUGCUGCCCAAGCUGGUCUGAAAACUCUUGUCCUCAGGCAGUCCUCCCACCUCGGCCUCCCAAAGAUCUGAGAUUACAGGCAUGAGCCACCACACCUGGCCUUGGUUUUAAUUCCUGUCACAGUAUAUUAGUUUUCGCUGUUGUGUAUUGAUUGAUUGAGACAGGGUCUCGCUCUGUUGCCCAGGCUGGAGUGCAGGGGCAUGAUCCCAGCUCACUGCAACCUCCACCUCUUGGAUUCAAGUGAUUCUCCCGUCUCAGCCUCCCGAGUAACAGGAACCACAGGUGUGUGCCAGCACGCCUGGCUAAUUUUUUUUUUUUUUUUCUUGAGGUGGAGUUUCACUGUUGUUGCCCAGGUUGGAGUGCAGUGGCACAAUCUCAGCUCACUGCAACCUCUGCCUCCUGGGUUCAAGUGAUUCUCCUGCUUCAGCCUCACGAGUUGUUGGGAUUACAGGCGCCCGCCACCACGCCCAGGUAAUUUUUGUUUAGUAGAGACGGGGUUUCACCAUGUUGGCCUGGCUGGUCUCGAACUCCUGACCUCAGGUGAUCCACCCACCUCGGCCUCCCAAAGUUGUGGGAUUGCAGGCGUGAGCCACUGCGCCUGGCCUAAUUUUUCAAUUUUUUGGUGGAGAUAGGGUUUCACCAUGUUGGCCAGGCUGGAGUUUUGCCUGUUCUAGAAGCUUGUAUCAGUCAUACAACACCCCUUUGAGGAACCGUUUGAGGUGUGGCACGAUACAGCAAGUCAGCUGCCAAAGAGGGGCUUAGCCACAGGAAGUGCGUGCCCAGAACGCAUCUCCCGUGUCCCUCACAGCAGUUCUAUGAGGCUGGCUGCCCUGUUUGACAACUGAGGCCCGCAUCUUCCCCGGAAUCACCGACGUGUGGCUCUGAGCCCUGUCCCAGGGAUUUUCUCCAUCAGAGAAGAGGAGCACUUUGAGCUUUGAGAGGAGCAGCCCUCUGCAAGUGAAGUGGAAAAAAAGGAAGCAGGCGAGGAGGCCCAUCCAGACCCUCCCCCAAGACCCUUGCUGAAAUGGCUGGGAUGCGGCGUGCAGAAGCUCUCCUUUCCUUCACAGCCCCUGGCUUUCCAAGAGUCCCUGCCCACCCAGAUGCCCGCUGGCAGAUGCAGCCUCAUCUCAAGGACACUGCUUGCUGGAUAAAUCCCUCACCACCCUAGAGACAGCCCACGGUCCUGAGACAAGGAUGCGGGCCAGGCUUGUUGCACGUAAGCGCCUCCCGCAGAAACCAGUGAGGCCGGAGUUCCAGAGGAAAUGAUGUAGGGACAGAGGCAGAGGGCCUCCAGGAGGCACCAGCCCCAGAGUCUUCCCUAGAAUCAGACUUUAAGCACAAGCAGGGAGGGAAAGCACUUGAGCAGUGCCCGUCCCUGCAUACCUGGCCUCUGCUGGAACCCAUGCAGGGACAGGACACUUCUUUAUCAGCAAUCCUGUUCCUCUCCUGGGCAGCUUCAACCUGAACAUCCUCCUUCACCUUGAGCUAAAAUGGGUUUCUUGUCACCCUUGCCCAUCAAACCUGGCCUUGCCCUCAGGAACCACACAGGACAAGCCUAAUACUUCCUUCUUGUGGCAACACUUUAGCAAUUGAGACCUGGCUGUCAGGUCCUCCAAAUAAACAUUUGUGACUGUGAUGUUGACUUGCCGCUUCUGGGGACCUCUUCUCAUUUGAUCGGAGAAAGUUUUUCAGGGUUAAACCUACUUCUUUCCCCCAAGAAACUCUUCUUGUCAGGCUCACGCCUAUAAUCCUGGCACUUUGGGAGGCCAAGGCAGGAGGAUUGUUUGAGACCAGCCUGGGCAACGUAGGUAGACUAUGUUGCU